CGCUCGCCCAUCCUGCUGGACCGCCUGCUCAGCUUGCUGACCCAGAAUGGGAUAGGAUCUGGACUUCCUCAUCUCGACACAAACUCCGUAGGUCAACUCUGAUUGCUACUGGAAGAAUUUGCCACUACAGAAGAAGGCAGCCUGAGGACAAAAUUGCUUAGAGGAAAAAGGCAGGACCAAGAUCACCACAGAGGAGUGAAAAUGGAGUCCAGGUCCAUCAAUGAUCAGUAAGUCAAAUUGAUUUUGCCUCACCUUCAGCCCUGAGGCAUGGAGCCUGCCUUCUAUGGACUAGGACCUCUGAAACCCUGUAGCCUCAGUUCCAGUGAGAGCUUGAAAACAAACAGCAGAGUCAGAACCUUCUCCAGGAGCAGCUCUUGUGCCCAGUCAAGUGGCAACACCAGCAUCAGAUCCAGGGCUCAAGUCCACCCCAGCAUGUCUCUGGAAGCAAGAGGCAGAUUCAGGGCUGGCUUUAGUACCAGCUCUGGAGCUCCAGACUGCUGCAACUCUUGACCACUGCUGGAUCCAACUCUACCCCCCACUCUAGAGCUAGAGCCUAGCCCAUUGCCAAUUCUCUCUGAAGAGCCGUGCAGCCUUAUCUUGUGAGAAAAAGGGCUGAAGGAGGAAAAGUCUCAUGUGUUAACAUUCCCUCUGGACCUGGGGGCAGUGAGCUUCUUGCUGAUGGGUGAGCCAUGAAUGCUGAACACCUGGGAGGUGAUGGAUGGAGUCCCAAAGGAAAAAUAUGUCCAUGACCUCUGAGGAGGACAGAAUGGUUCCCAUACUGUAAAAGGUAGGAAACUCCCUGGACUAGCCCUGCCAUCUUGAAUUGGAGCUUCUGGAUGAUCAAGAAGGAUAGAUGGGAAUAAAGAAGAGAGAGCUGAGGUGUCUCCUGGAUACCCCUGACCACUGUCCUCUGGGCAUCCCCUCAGGGCACAUACCCUGAUGACCUGUCUCCCAUGCUGAUCCAGAUGACCUGCUAGGCGAGGGCUCCUGCUAUGGUAUGCAGGGCUUUGGACCAACACCUGCUUAAGGAGGAGGAUUUGAAAGAUUUUGAGCUCCUGCAAAUCAUCUCAAAGCAUCAGAGUAAGUGGGACAAUCAGAUGGUGGGGAGAGAUGAUCAACAAGCAACAAGUCACAGUCCAAAGAAAGAGUGCCUUGGCCCCAAAAAAAACAGCCAAAGAGUGUGUGGGACUUAUAAACAAAGGAAACUGCACUGAGGUGGGCCUAAAAUCUGCAGGUUCUCUGUGCUGUCCCAGCGGCUGCUGGACCUCCCUAACAUGUGUUCUCCUCUGCACCUGAUCAGCUAUUGCAAAGCUAACAUCCAUGAGGGGCAAAGAAGAAAGUCUUCUUCAAGUAGCAGUAUGCAGCAUGGGUAACUGAUAGGGAUGAUUUCAGACUAGGGUAGGAAAAAAUAGGCUACCAGUAGAAUGGGCAGUGAUGUGGAGAAGGAGGAAGAGGGGGAAGGCAGACAGAAGAAGGAAUACAAAAAACACAAAUAGAGGUUUCAUAAUAACCAGACUAAGAAUAUGAAUUAUAAGGAUAAUGAUGAGGAAGAAGAGGAAGACCUGAAAAAUAUUUGGUUCCUGAGGGCACAUUCCUGCCAAAGUCAUCCUCAUCCAUGCCCAACAUACCUCUAAUCUAUACCACCUCCCAUGACUGUGUUCAUCUAUGAAUGGAAUACUCCACUGAUCGGGUCAAUGCACUCACCAUCAAAUGAUUCCUAAAAACACUUGAGUGAACACUGCUGCAUUGUGGAGAAAAGGUUCAGCACAUUAGCCAUUGGGGGCAAAUUCUAAUGCAAACCCUAUCAGUCAAACCUGAACUGAGUCAUUUUAGGGCUCAAGGCACUUUUUCUUUGAAAGGUGUUAAUUUGGUUUAGUUCCAUGGUACAAUAGCUCAGUUGGAGAGAUCUAAGGUCUGUGGCUCAGGCCUGACCUGGUAGAGGCUCUCAGUUGUUGGAUGUGUCCUGUGGUGUACCCCUUGAGUUUCAACUACCAUCCCCUGCCCCUCCCUCUCCAGAGUGGGAGGUCCCUGAAAAUGGAAUCAUCUUUUAUGCUGUGAAUUCUUGAGUCAACCAUGACUUCAUCCUGAGAAAACGUCUCAUCAGCAAGUGGGCCAAGGCCAAGGAAAGGAAGGCAAACAUCUACCUUACGCACUCUUUUCAUUUGGUGUGAUUCCACAUCCGCACAAGGCAGCAAGCUCAGCUCCUAGAUAUAUGUUCUUGAAUCUCCAUAGAGCAAACUGACAGAUGGAUGGCUUUAGUGUCAGGGCUUUACAGAUGUUGCCUUCCCCCUCAUUCUUGGAAUCUACUUCAGAGUCCUCCGCAUUGAUGUCCAGCAUCACCACUUGAGCAGCACCUCUUCUCCAAAGGCAGGACCCAGGAUCAUGGCCAUCAAAUGCUUCAUGUAGCCCAGUGUCCUAGGAGUUGUUACAAGCAAAUCCUCAAGGUCCCUCUACAACAAGGUGGGAGACAGCUGCUUAGUUCAUAUUAGCUUACAGGAUCUGAGCAGAAAAGAACUAUAAGAGUGGCCUGAUAAGCCUGGAAGCAGGGUUGUCCCCUGGUGCUUACCCCAGGGCAGGGAGCAAACAUAUCAAAUGCCAUGGACUAUCCCUACCCUUUAGAAUUGGAGCUUCUGGGUGGUCAGGAAGAAUAGAUGGGAAUAAAGAAGAGAGAAGUCAGUGUUAAGGGCUUGACCUGAGAGAAGGGAGAGCACCAGCAUGUCCACCGUCAUGUCUGAGGGAGUGUUUGAAUUGGGUGGCAGUGUGCAGGUCAGAAGUGCAGGGACAGGUAUUGGUGGGAGAGGACAGAGUAGUGUCUAGCAUGCAUGUUCCACAGUAUGGGAUGGAGAAUGCUGAUGCACAUGGAGGACAGUGACAUCAGUGUCUGUAUGUGCCUUUAAUAAAGAACUGAGAGGAUCUGUUUGCAGAAUUUAUAUGAAUGUGGAAUAUACACCCAAACCAUCCUGAUGUCCAGUUACAGAGAAGUCAUUUUCAAUUACUCCCCCUGCUGAGUCAGGUGCCCCAUUAUACCACAGCCAACACUGAGCCUCUGGAGGCCAGGAGCUCUCAAGGCUGCCAUUAAGCCCUCCUGUGCAUGGUCUUGUUCUUGACUCUGUUCUGUGCCCUGGCUGUCAUGAUCCAAGCCUCUAGGGUUUCUGCCUGGGUCACCUACAAGUGCAUCCUGCAUCCCAGAGCAGACCUUCCAUAUAGGAGGCCACUGACUCAUUUCUCUGACCUUAGUGGGCAUAGGGUAUGUCUCUACAUGACUGUUUGGUCCUUUUAACUUGUUUGUAAUGUGGAUCCACACAGGGCAAUGGCAGGUACAGUGGACUCUUAUAUGAAGAUUGGGCUAGUAGUACAUCAGAAGACCUCCACAUGAUUACAUGGAGGCUACCCUCAGGGAGCAAGAUAACAAGAUGAUGCCAAGGUGUUCAGAGAUGAAAUAUCUCCUUAAAGUCUCUGCCUACUGUGCUCUGGUAGCCAGUCCAAGGUCCAUUCCCUGAGGACCUGUCUCCCACCAUGAUCCAAGUGACCUACCAUGGUAGAGCUUCUGCUAUUGGAAGCUGGACCAACACUUGCUAGACAAGGAAAAACCAGAAGACCAUGAGCUCAGGCAAAUCACCCAAAAACAUCAGAGUAAAUGGGACAAUAAGAUAAUGGGGAGCAAUGGUCAGGAAGUAGAUUUAGGACAACUCAAAACCCAAAGUAGUAGAGUCUGACCCAGAAGAACACUCAAGCAGGGUGUGGUGGACAUCAUGUACAAAGUUAACUGCACUGAGCCUGGUGCAUAAGUCUCUAGGUUUUAUACACUGCCUCAGUGUCUGGGGCAAUGCCACACCAUGUGCCUUCGCCCACCCCCUGGAACUGAUCAGGCAUUUAUUGCUAACAUCAGUGAGGAGCAAGGAGAAAAUUUCCUCAAGGGGUAGUAUGGCCUCAUGGCUCACUGAUAGGAGUGUUAUCAGAGGAAGAUUGGAAAAAAUGGGAUACAGAUGGAAGCAGUAUUUAUGGGGACUGAAGCAGCUUUAUUUAAAACCGUAUGUCUGACAUGAAAAGCCUUUCCUAUGCAGACGAUGUCAAUAUUCUGCAGGCCAGAAAAGGACUCAAUCAGAAACAACUACAGGUCAGUAUUUGGACAAAUUUCUAAGUCCUCAGUGCCUGUGUCCCCUUUCCCACAAGAUAUCAGAAUAGCCAGAUUACUAUCUCUAACUAAAGUCAGAUGAUGGCUUCCUAAGCACAUAUGCUCCAAAGCUGAUCCUGAAAUAAUGCUAUUGCCAUUUUCUUUUUUGUGAGCCAAACAUCCCUAGCAGCCAUGAUCCCAGUCUGUCCACAGUGAAACCCCCCUUCCUGAAGGAUUGUAUGGUAAAUUCUCUCAUAUCUCAAUCCACGAAAUCUGUGAGGUUUGCAGAGUUACAGAAGAGGAAGACUGAAGCCUAGGUAGGCUAAAGAAGUCAUGUCAGAAGUACCACACAUCCAAUCCAGCACUGAUUGAGAGCAGGCUCUAGUCAGAGGGAGACUGCAGGAAACAGGUGUUCAAAGGAACAUCUAAAUUGGUAUCUGGAUGCCACACAGUAUUAUGGCAUCCCUGGACCAUAACAAAAGGUUGGAGUGAAGAUGUCCUCUUUUUCUCAGUAGGGCAGCAUUUGGGAUGUGGCCUCCUUUCUAGGA